rnacentral:rRNA from 1 species
GCUUCUAUGACGUUAGCGGCGGACGGGUGAGUAACACGUGGGCAACCUGCCUGUAAGACUGGGAUAACUUCGGGAAACCGAAGCUAAUACCGGAUAGGAUCUUCUCCUUCAUGGGAGAUGAUUGAAAGAUGGUUUCGGCUAUCACUUACAGAUGGGCCCGCGGUGCAUUAGCUAGUUGGUGAGGUAACGGCUCACCAAGGCAACGAUGCAUAGCCGACCUGAGAGGGUGAUCGGCCACACUGRSWSWRRRMCACGGCCCAGACUCCUACGGGAGGCAGCAGUAGGGAAUCUUCSGCAAUKGACGAAAGUCUGACGGAGCAACGCCGCGUGAGUGAUGAAGGCUUUCGGGUCGUAAAACUCUGUUGUUAGGGAAGAACAAGUACGAGAGUAACUGCUCGUACCUUGACGGUACCUAACCAGAAAGCCACGGCUAACUACGUGCCAGCAGCCGCGGUAAUACGUAGGUGGCAAGCGUUAUCCGGAAUUAUUGGGCGUAAAGCGCGCGCAGGCGGUUUCUUAAGUCUGAUGUGAAAGCCCACGGCUCAACCGUGGAGGGUCAUUGGAAACUGGGGAACUUGAGUGCAGAAGAGAAAAGCGGAAUUCCACGUGUAGCGGUGAAAUGCGUAGAGAUGUGGAGGAACACCAGUGGCGAAGGCGGCUUUUUGGUCUGUAACUGACGCUGAGGCGCGAAAGCGUGGGGAGCAAACAGGAUUAGAUACCCUGGUAGUCCACGCCGUAAACGAUGAGUGCUAAGUGUUAGAGGGUUUCCGCCCUUUAGUGCUGCAGCUAACGCAUUAAGCACUCCGCCUGGGGAGUACGGUCGCAAGACUGAAACUCAAAGGAAUUGACGGGGGCCCGCACAAGCGGUGGAGCAUGUGGUUUAAUUCGAAGCAACGCGAAGAACCUUACCAGGUCUUGACAUCCUCUGACAACUCUAGAGAUAGAGCGUUCCCCUUCGGGGGACAGAGUGACAGGUGGUGCAUGGUUGUCGUCAGCUCGUGUCGUGAGAUGUUGGGUUAAGUCCCGCAACGAGCGCAACCCUUGAUCUUAGUUGCCAGCAUUUAGUUGGGCACUCUAAGGUGACUGCCGGUGACAAACCGGAGGAAGGUGGGGAUGACGUCAAAUCAUCAUGCCCCUUAUGACCUGGGCUACACACGUGCUACAAUGGAUGGUACAAAGGGCUGCAAGACCGCGAGGUCAAGCCAAUCCCAUAAAACCAUUCUCAGUUCGGAUUGUAGGCUGCAACUCGCCUACAUGAAGCUGGAAUCGCUAGUAAUC